GAUUAUUUAGUUUAUAAGCAAAAUAAAUGUUUUGAAAACAUUAGUAAAGAAGAAUUCUUAAUAAUCG
rnacentral:tRNA from 1 species